rnacentral:lncRNA from 1 species
UGCAUUUCUUCUGUUGAGCUAUAACUUAAAAAAGUAAAAAAAGUACAUGAUCACAUAUGAAAACUUCUAAUAACAUUAAUUAUAAAUAAGAAGAUGUGGUAUGAUUGCCAAUGAGACAACUCUCAUUAGAUUGCCUCAUAGGCCUAUUGAAUAUGAAUGAAAUAUUUGCCACUGGAAAUUUAGCAUGCACCAAUUCAUUGACAAAACAUCAAAACAUUGAGACUUUUUGUUUUUCUUUCUUUUUUUCUGCUACUAAAUUAUUCUUGUAUGCUAAUUGUAUAAGGCCACUAUUGAAAAGUUACAAAUUAACAAAUUCAUAUACUUUGAAAUUGCUGAUUUGAUGUGGUACACUGUGGUGAUGUAGAAAAAUUGAUUAAAAAGCAACAGUCAUUGACAGAUCCUAUCCUAUAUUAUGAAUAUGCAGAGGAAAUAUACAGCAUUAUAAUGAGAGCACAUUUGAAUACUGGACAUGGUGGAAGAGAUAAAAUGGAGACCCGCGUAACCUUAUGGCUGUUGUUACUGGAAAGGAAGCGCAUGGUUAUAAACUUGGAAUUUAAGAUGGAAUAGUACGUGGACACCAGGAGUCAGUUUGAACUAUCUGACAGUAACUUUAUUGCUAUUCAAUGUGUAAAUUAUGAUAAUGAAAUAUCCUUUAGAAAAGCUGUCAGUAAAGUUUCUUUGUGUGAUGGUCAAACUUACACAAAAUGUGGCUGUAGUGCUAGAUGUAACACUAAACGUUGUCUUUGCAAAAAGUCAGGACAAAUGUGUAACAGUCGCU